CAGUCGCCGCGGUAAUACGAAGGGUGCAAGCGUUAAUCGGAAUUACUGGGCGUAAAGCGUGCGUAGGUGGUUAUUUAAGUGAGAUGUGAAAGCCCCGGGCUUAACCUGGGAACUGCAUCUUAUACUGGGUAACUGGAGUGCAGUAGAGGGUAGUGGAAUUUCCGGUGUAGCGGUGAAAUGCGUAGAUAUCGGAAGGAACACCAGUGGCGAAGGCGGCUACCUGGACUGAGACUGACACUGAGGCGCGAGAGCGUGGGGAGCAAACAGGAUUAGAUACCCGCGUAGUCCCUGUCUCUUAUAC
rnacentral:rRNA from 1 species